UCCGGCAGUUAGCUCUCUGCAACUCUCACAUGGUCGCUCACUGAAGCUAAGCAGGGCUGCGCCUGGUCUGUAUAACUGGAUGGGAGACCACAUGGGAAAGCUAGGUUGUGCUGGAA
rnacentral:rRNA from 1 species